ensembl:lncRNA
UAUACCUUCUGCACUGGCAGGUGGGUUCUUUAACACUAGCAUCACCUGGGAAGCCCUAACUUGUGCAACUGGGCACAAUAACCCUUUGUGGAGAAAUGUCUAUGUCAGUUCUGCCCAUUUUUUGUUUUUGUUUUUUAUUGAGUUGCAUGAGUUGUUUAUAUGUUUUGGAAAUUAAUCCUUUGUCAGUUGCUUCAGUUACAAAUAUUUUCUUCCAUUCUGAGGGUUGUUUUCUCAUUUAUUGCUUCCUUUGCUGUACAAAAGCUUUUAAUUAGGUCCCAUUUGUUCAUUUUUGACAUGUAUAUACUACUAUGUAUAAUACAGAUAACUAAUGAAAACCUAUUAUAUGGCACAGGUAACUCUACUCAGUGCUCUGCGGUGACCGAAAGUGAAAGUGAAAGUGAAGUCGCUCAGUCGUGUCCGACUCUCUGCGACCCGGUGGACUGCAGCCCACCAGGCUUCUCCAUCCAUGGGAUUCUCCAGGAACCAAGACAGCGUGAGGCGUGAUGGUGUGCCUCUGUGUGAUGGUGGGCACUUUUCCAGGAGUCUCUCCUUGGUCUCUCGUCCAGCCCUCCACGGUGGGUCGUGAUGUUCACGUACCAGCUGGGAAACCACGGGCUUAGUUUUCCAAGAGUUUGGAUAGACGUGCCAGGACCAAGGAGCGAGGCUCGCCACCACGGGUUAGUCACAUGCUUGCUAAACACAUGGAAACAGCAGGCCCUGCACCACUCUCUCUGCUCAGGGAAGAGGGUGGGGGUCCCUGUCAUGUCUUGAGUGGUAAGUGUUUUAAACCCUUAUGUUAGUUUCAAUCUUCAGGUAAUAGACAACAUUCAUUAUAGAAAAAUAGAAGAUUAUUUAGAAAAAGGUGGAACGACUUCCCUGGUGGUCCAGGGGCUAAGGCUUCAAGCUGCCAAGGCAAGGGUCCAGGGUUCAAUCCCUGGUCAAGGAACUAGAUCCCACAGGCCACAGCUAAGAGUUUUCAUGCCACAGCUAAAGAUCCCACCUGCUGCAACAAAGAC